CAUUCUCAUCCAUUGGGAGUUCGCGGAUAGUUUAGGAUGAGACAUUUCUUUGGAGCUCCAGUUAGUGGAAAUAGGAGUGCAGCUUUUUGUUUGCAUAUUGGAGCCAGAGCGAAGGGAGGGAGUUUCCUCAGUGGACACCGGGAAUUAUACAACUUAAUUACAGGAUUACAUGAUUCCUAUGCUAACUCCCAAAUGGCUUUUGAACUUCCAACUUUUCGACUGUGAAACUCAAACCAUGAAUGAUUCAGAAGACGAGUCUGCAAUUUCAAGUCUUGAACUUCAUAAGUUCACAAUUUCAUAUUUUAGUCGUGGACAAGCUACAAUAAAGGAAUUUUUUUUUUUUUUUUUUUUUUUACCUGACUCUUUAGUGUGCAUUUAUUUGAUCAAGUUUUUUUGGCAAAUUGGAUGAAAACCAAGGGUUUUAACAAUUUUUGUACAGCCUCCAAAACACAUCUAUGUGUUGAAACUUUGCAUGCACAGCCAUUACCCUAAAUGAAAAAAAAAAGGUUACAAAAGUUUAAGAAUAAAUAAAUAGUUUAACCAUUUUCAAGCAAUUAAAAAAAUUAAAUGUGAUGUCCCCAACACAACAGGAGGGUUAAAAGCACAUGCAUUCUGUAUGAUUGUUGUGAAAACUUUGUAAAACUGUUGGCGUGAUAAACAUGCUCUAUUUCCGAUCUAGAAUUGACCACAUGUUGACUAACCUGUGUUUUAAGUUCUGUAUCGUGGUUUUGGGGACAUAUUUCAUUUCCGCUCCUACUGUGUGAAGAGAAAUGACAACAAAAAAGACUUUUAUUAUUUAGUGUUCUCAUUUUACUUUCAUUAAAUCAUAAGUCAAUCAUU